GUUUCAUGUGAUUUCUGAGUUGGUAUAAAAUGUGUAAACUGGUUCAAAGUUUGUAAUAAAUAUGUUAAAAUCUAUAGUACAACUAGUUAAAAAUAUAAAAAGUGAGACAUCUUUUCAAAAAAAUAAUCGUUUCAGUGACAAGAGUGAGUACUCUUCUCGCAAUUGGACAAUCUUUGACGUUUUUUCUUCUCUGUGAAGCACAAGCUAGCAAUGGCAGAAACGAAGUUUGAUAAGCUCGUAAACAAGCUGUGUUUGUUCUAAAACGUGGAAAACAUGGGAAACGUUCGUCUUUUUACAUGUACGACAAAGAAAGCUUCCCCGUGUAAUUAUUGUCUGGCAGCAUACAGUCACCUGUUGUGAGGACGGCACAAAUAUUGGCGGUUGAUGAUCAGUAUGGGUAAGCAAAUGUUGGACAACAUCGACUACACAAGCUGAAUAUUCUGCAGUAUGUGUGAUGCCAUCGAGCUGUUGCAGCAUGCAACGGUGGGAAAAUGCACUUCACGAUGCACAACUGUGAAUCAAUGCGUCACAGUUGGUUGCGUUGGCAGACAGACCACACCUGACCACACCCAACUGGGGCGUUGGCUGUGAUCAGUGGUGCGACAAACGUGAACCUUUCAACCCGUAGAGGUCAGUGCAACAAAUUUGGACUUCGGAGGCACCCGUACAACGUAAGACUGUGCCAGAGGGUGAACAAUUCUCCAACUUGCUGAUACAUACCCACAAAGUAAUUGGGAUUGGUUAUCUGACCAUGCAAACACAUGCUUAGUGGGAGGGAGUCUAAUCCUAACAAAUACAAUAAGGGUUUUUACUCUGUUUGGGCCACAUGAAAAGAAAAAAGUGAGGAAAAAGUUGCAACAUUUUGAGAAUAAAGUCAUAUUGAACUGAGACGGUGGUCAUUUUACUGAAAUUAAGUCAUUAUCUGAAUCAUAAGUGACUGUCAAAAUUCCCACGCAACUUUCUCUAUAGACCUACCAUAGAUUAAAUCAUUAAAAAAAACAAGGUUUAAGUCCGUGUAGUUCUAUCUCAAGAAGCUGACCCAUCUAUCCUGACUACUUUACUGUUGCCGACAUUUUCAAAUUCUAACUUUUUUCUCGGUUUUUGUUUGUAAUUGAUUCAAAAUGGUCAGACGAAAAACCAAAACGUACAUACAGUACGUAUGUUUCCCAUAGGAAAAGAUGUAAAUCCAAUGUAAACAAUUUGUAAGGAAUAAUUACAGAUUUACAUUCAUAAAACAAUGUGAAAUAAUUCUAAAUAACGAAUGGAUGGAACUUAUUAUUAAUGCGGACUUCCCAUGGCAAAAUGGAAUUUCAAUUAAGUUUCUCACCUCCUUUCUCGAAUUCCUGCCACUCUCAACUUUAUUUGACCCCAUGGUAAGUUAUUUAGCCAUCACUCUCAAUAAAAAGUGCACCGACAUUGAGUCAACAACACGUAGGGUGCGGUACGAUACAGUACAGGGCAACAGGCCGCCGUUUGUUAUGCGCUACAUUGUACGAAAACUGAGGCAAAUUUUCAACCACUGUACACUUAAUGCUUCACUUAACGCUGCAUAUAUUCAAUUAACGGAUGUGUAUAGGUCUACAAAAGCAAAUAACAUUGGCAUUAGCAGCUUGGGUGCAUUUGAAGCAUGACGAGCAGGUAUCUAUUGUCUACCUCUGCAUGUACUUUAAAAUGUUGGUUCUAUUCCUGCUGUUUUGUAGAUAAAUGGCCAUGUGGUCAAAGACACACUACUCAUUACUAAUGUAUAAUUGAGUUUUCACAUUUCGGAAAUAACACUCUAUACAGAAGAAAUCCUAUAUAAAGAAAAUUCAUUUAUCUUGGUCAGGUCUGGAAGCAAUAAAAAGCGAUAAACGAGGGAUUGCUGUAUAUACAAAAGCCAUAAAAAUAAUUUCUCUAAAACUAUUUGCAAAACUGUACAAAAAAUUAGGAGACUUUCUUAUUAUUAUGUGUAGUAAUAUAAGUUGGCCAUUGCUUUACAAUGUGAGCGUUUCCAUUUUAAGAGUUAAUAGUAAUAACUAGUUUUAAUAUAACCAUACUGAAAGUGAAUUGUUUCCCAAUUUUUUAGCAACCUCUGGAGCCUUAACAUCGGCCUAUUUUGCCUCGUGAGCCAGCCGGCUAUGACUUUACCUGCCGAAACUGCCAAUCGGGGGCAUUGAUUGGAAGCAGGCGAUACUUGGAUAAAUGGAAUAUUUUUGUAGUUAUGGCAUAGGAAACAUGUUUACAACCUUCUAUUUCAUUUGAAAUGCAUUUAUGUAUUAUUAGAGCGCUCUAGAAAUUAAAUAACACCCCUGUGGUCACAUGGUACACUGGUGUUACCCAAUAUAGUAGAAAUAAUUACAGAAGACACGAAUAAAUGUGCUGGUGCAGUAAAUGUUUUCCAUGUAGAGGACAUGAAGUCGAUGGUUCAGAGUUGCGUUAUAGCUUGAUGUACCAGCAGUAUCUCAUGUUGUUAUUGUGAUGAUGCUAAUGAUUAUUAUUAUUCUGCCUGUUGUGCGAUAUUUGAAACCUGCAAUAAAAGCCUGUUGUCCUGGCUUGUGUGUCAGACCAAACAACCUAGAGACCAAUGUAGAAUAGUCACAAUUUGAAUGUGUCUUCUUAAUGACUUAUAUUUGUAUUUUAGUUCAUUUAGUUACUUAAGGUAGCCAUUUUUAUGCGGCAAAUUAUUAUACAUUUAGGCAAUUUGCUGAAUUAUGCACGUUUGGACUAAGAAUGAACCGUAUUCAACAACAGCAUGAUUUGUUAAUUAAUCUCUCUCUCUGGCCGCUAAGUCUUGUUUCUGGAAUGGCUGUGAAGGGAGUGGCUGUCUUGACCACAUGUGUGGCGGACAAAAGUUGAUGAUGCGGCAGUUGGUUAUGCUGGUGUAUAUGCUGCAUGCACAGAUCUUAGGGAUUCUGCAAGGAGGAGCCGAGAGUGAAUGCACUGACACCAGGAAGCACAAUCCCAGUUCUCUAUAGGGAUGUUAUACGACUUCAUGUCCCGCCUGCAGACGUCCUUGAAGCAGAGGAAGGGUCUUCCAGUGCAUCUGGUGCCUUGGGCUAGCUGAUUAUUCAUUAAAAACGGUGAUAGGGUGAAGCCGCAAAAUUCAUAGCAAGGUACGACUGUCACUGUGGUGUACUGUACUGUUACUGUACUGUUACAGGACAUUAUUCUGUGGUAAGGGCAUUUAUAUUACAUUUCUGAUUUUUAUAUGCAUUUAUUGGUGUAUAAAUUUGGGUGAAAUGUUAGACGACAGUAAAAACAACUUUAUUUUUUACAAAUUUAUGACUUUUUUCUUGAUAAUGUCACUUUACGCUCCUACAAUUACAACAUUUUUUCCCUUAAUGUCACAACUUUAUUUCUUUUUCAUAAUACAAUUACUUAAAUCUGAUCAUAUUAAUUUUUUUUUCAAACUACAGUAUAUUAUUGUAUUCUCAUAUAAUGUUGUAUUAUUAUUUUUUGUACUUUUCACUGUGGGUUUAAUAUUAUUACACCUGCCCACAGAUAAAAUAAAUCCACAUCCAACCAGGUCGCAAUAGCUAAUUCUCUCUCCACCUAAUUGCAUAAGAAGACUCCCUGCAAACAGCUACUAUACAUAAGAAGGACAUAUUAAAAAUGAAUCGUCUUUUCAAUUAUCAAAAACAAAAUGGUUUCAUCUUGUUAAGGCAGACAAUGUUUCUGUCCUCCAACUGCAUUGUCAAGCAGGAAAGAUGGCGGAAACCUCAUUGGAAAGCUCUAACGUUACAUCUAAUGCCCCGGGGCCCGCUUGAGAGGCUUGCAGGACAAACACAGUUUGAGAGAAACCAAAACACAUUUACGGAGUAUAUCACUCUAUUUAGCCCAGUCGGGAUGUUCAUGUCCUGCGGGUAUCAACUACUUUCUGGAUUUGUUUCCAAUUUCCCAUUUACACUUAACCCUAUUUGUGUCAUUUUGGGUUAUUAAUCUUGUGGCCUAUCUAUAAAAAACAAACAAAAACAAGUACUUAAAGCACUACUAUAAAAUGAGCCAGAACAGCUUCAAGGCUAAUGAUUAUAGUAACUCAGGGAACCAUUUUAAUGUUCUGCCAGUGAAGUGCAUGAUCAACAAAUGGCUUAAUUAAGCACAGGAAAGGGAGCCGUUACAUUGUUAGAGUAUUCGUUAUGACUUUUAAAACCAAUUGAGAGUUGCCUCCAUGCCUCUGAAAAACUACAGGUGGCUUUCUUUGUAUGGUGGACUAAAAAACGCAUUCAAUUCUUAUUUUUUAUUGACCACUAGGGGGCGGAAAGACUCCAAAACAAAGUCACAACAGUUAGCAUUUAGCUUAGCAAAGUAGUCAUGGCUGACAGGUUAGCAAACAGUUGCCUACUUACACAUCCAGUAGAAAGAGAGCAACACGGACAUCCCUUUGGUCUCCUUUUUCUGGCCACCUGUUGAACGCAAUUCCAAUAUUCACUGGCGUUUUAGCCCUUAUGCUUGUUGUAUUUAUCGCUUGCGAGAAAUGUAGCAUUCGUCAGCGCUAACUGCGUUCAAGAAAAUGAGUGAAAAACGCUCCAGAACUUGAAAGUUGGAGCUUCAUUCCCAGUAGCAAACCCAUAAACUGCGGUCAUAAAAUCCCAUGAUUUGAAGCCAUAACUUAAUGCAUCUUUACUCAUUCAGCAUGCUUUCAGGUUUUCCUUUCCAGCACAUUUAAUUCCUUAAUAAUGUGCUUUCAACCACAAAGAAAGACCUCUGUAAAUGUCAUAGUAGGAAGGAAAAUCUCCAGAAAACCGACAGAGGUUUGGCGUUAAUAACAAUAACACGGCUCCCGUCAUCUUUGUCUUUGUGAUGCAGUGACAAUGACCUACUUGCUGAAGGGUACAACCUAUGUGCACACACAAGAGGAUUUCCCCCAAUUCAAUCCAACUCAUCCCAGUGUGACAUGAGGAUUGUGUGUAAUGGGCGUAAAAAUUGGAGUUCAUCACACAGAGAUGAUGCAGACAGAGCAUGUUGUUUUUGUGUGUUCCAGCUUGUCGCCACAAUGCCAAUCCAACUGAAGACAGCCAUUCAGAUAAGAUGCAAUGGAAUUAUCUUUUAUUUUGCACUUUUUCUGCUUUCCCACCAUUCACACCUAGUACUUCUGUCGGAGCCUUAUCUUAUCAAUAACGAGACUAUUCUGUAACGUCAACACAGGAAACUCUGAGAAUGAAUUUGAAUACGUGUGCGUGAUAAG